rnacentral:rRNA from 1 species
UACAGAGGUCUCAAGCGUUGUUCGGAUUCAUUGGGCGUAAAGGGUGCGUAGGUGGCGCGGUAAGUCGGGUGUGAAAUUUCGGAGCUUAACUCCGAAACUGCAUUCGAUACUGCCGUGCUUGAGGACUGGAGAGGAGACUGGAAUUUACGGUGUAGCAGUGAAAUGCGUAGAGAUCGUAAGGAAGACCAGUGGCGAAGGCGGGUCUCUGGACAGUUCCUGACACUGAGGCACGAAGGCCAGGGGAGCGAACGGG